GCUUCUCUCAGCUCUGGGAGCCUAGACACAGAAAGCCCAGGUCCUCCUUGUCAUCUCUCCUGCCUGGAGUCCAGUCACCCUUAUUCUGAUAAAAACUCUUGAAAGUUUUGUGGAAUCCUGAAAAGUUAGCAACAAUGAGGAGGGGGACCCAGGUGGGGGACAGUGAUUGUUCUGAGGGACGCUAACUGCAAACAGCACGCUGCCACAAGGACCUUCCUCGAACACAACUUUCCCCUGGAGGGCGAAGCGAGCAGAUUUCUGGAGCUUGAAAUGGCAAUCGUCAUUAGGGUAACCCGCUUCCCCAGAGCAUGUGCCCGGCUUGUCCUGGAAAUGACAAGAAUGGAGACGUGGCUGAGCACAGACACCAAGGCCUGAGGACGCUGAGACUUGGGGAUCUAUAUCAUCCUCCACGGAUCUCUCCAAAGCCAGUUUCUGUCCUAUAUAAUAUUCACCUCAUUGGGAUAUUUCCCCAUCAUUUCAAUGGGAUGUUAUAGUGAGAUAAACAUGCCAGACAAAAUUGAAUUCUGUGGGUUUAUUUAUUGAUUUAUUUAUUUUUGGAGGGGGAAGUCCAAUGAAUGUGAAUCAAAGCAACAUUUUGCACUUUACAUCAGAAUUGAUGUUGCUGGCAUAAUUAAGAAACUCAUUUCAUUAAGAAUUGCUAAUUACGAGAUGCUAAAAAACAAUAACCCUGGACUGUAUAUAUUUCAAGCUAGGAGAGACAUUUAUUAGAAGGAGAAAUGGUCUUAAGGAUUUCUAAAAAUGUGAAAUUAGAUGCCACCCAGAGGUCGCAUGGGCAGGGCUGGUGAGUGGAAUUGGAGUCUGAACCCCACAGUGAUGGGGAGCACAGGGAAAAAUGUUCCCCAAUCCAAGGACUUGGGCUGAGUUUCCUGAGACCAUCCAGGCAUGGGGCCUUGACCGCUUUCUCCCACCAAGCCCAGGGGCAGUGAAUCUGCAG
rnacentral:lncRNA from 1 species